rnacentral:rRNA from 1 species
UACGUAGGGGCCUAGCGUUGUCCGGAUUUAUUGGGCGUAAAGGGCUCGUAGGCGGUUCGACAAGUCGGGUGUGAAACCUCCAGGCUCAACCUGGAGUCGCCACUCGAAACUGUUGUGACUUGAGUCCGGUAGGGGAGCAUGGAAUUCCUGGUGUAGCGGUGGAAUGCGCAGAUAUCAGGAGGAACACCAGUGGCGAAGGCGAUGCUCUGGGCCGGUACUGACGCUGAGGAGCGAAAGCAUGGGGAGCGAACAGG